AGAGUUUGAUCCUGGCUCAGAUUGAACGCUGGCGGCGUGGCUAAAGCAUGCAAGUCGUACGGGGCCGCAAGGCCCAGUGGCGGACGGGUUAGUAACACGAUCGAACGUACCCUGAGGUGCGGGAUAGCGGCGGGAAACCGCCGGUAAUACCGCAUGAUCUCUCCGGAGCAAAGGGCAACCGCCUUUGGAUCGGCGAUCGGCCUAUCAGCUAGUUGGCGGGGUAACGGCCCACCAAGGCGAUGACGGGUAGCAGGUGUGAGAGCACGACCUGCAACAUCGGGACUGAGACACUGCCCGGACUCCUACGGGAGGCUGCAGCGACGAAUCUUCCGCAAUGGGCGCAAGCCUGACGGAGCGACGCCGCGUGUGGGAUGAAGCGUCUUCGACGUGUAAACCACUGUCAGGGAACAGAAACACUGAUUGUUCCCAAAGGAAGGGGCGACUAACUCUGUGCCAGCAGUCGCGGUAAGACAGAGGCCCCGAGCGUUAAUCGGAAUUACUGGGCUUAAAGGGUGCGUAGGUGGACCAGCAAGUGCUUUGUGAAAGCCCCCGGCUCAACCGGGGAACAGCGGGGCAUACUGCUGGUCUUGAGGCAGGUAAGGGCCGACGGAACUGAAGGUGGAGCGGUGAAAUGCGUAGAUAUCUUCAGGAACGCCGAUGGUGAAGACGCGGCUGGGCCUGUCCUGACACUGAGGCACGAAAGCGUGGGGAGCAAACAGGAUUAGAUACCCUAGUAGUCC
rnacentral:rRNA from 1 species